CGCUGUUACUGCCAGGGCAAGCCAACCGCGAAGAGACCAAGAAAGCCCAGAGGCUGAAGAAGAUUCCCCUUACCAGCCGCGAAACCAGCGAUCUGAUCAUGAUGGGCAUUGGCGCUUUCACUCCGCCUCGAUGAUUCAUGGGCAACGAGGAUUGGAAAAGCUGCUGCGAUGAAUACCAACUGCCCAGCAAGGACGGUGUGUUCUGGCCCAUUCCCAUCACGCUCUCAGCAAACGAAGAACUGGCGAAAUCCAUCCUCCAAAGGGAGGAAGUAGCCCUGUGGGAUGGCGAGACCGAUAGCGCACAAGUA
rnacentral:rRNA from 1 species